rnacentral:lncRNA from 1 species
GUGCCACUAAACUUGCUCGUAGUCUGAAUGCCCAUUCUGCUAUUUACGCCCACAAACUUGUUACCACUAGACGUGCCAUUGCAAACAAUGUUUCUUCCCACAGCCAGGUUCUAAGGCCUUGUGCCUCUAGAAACCCACCUGAUCCCCAUUAAUUUUUUUCCUUCUUUCCUUGUGGUGGGGGAGACUCACGGCUCUUUGGAGCCAAUGUGUCUCCUUUUCCUUAAUUGAUGUAGGGGGAGUUUCUCCGCCUACGUAGUUUU